rnacentral:rRNA from 1 species
GACGAACGCUGGCGGCGUGCUUAACACAUGCAAGUCGAACGGAAAGGCCCUGCUUUUGUGGGGUGCUCGAGUGGCGAACGGGUGAGUAACACGUGAGUAACCUGCCCUUGACUUUGGGAUAACUUCAGGAAACUGGGGCUAAUACCGGAUAGGAGCUCCUGCUGCAUGGUGGGGGUUGGAAAGAUUCGGCGGUUGGGGAUGGACUCGCGGCUUAUCAGCUUGUUGGUGGGGUAGUGGCUUACCAAGGCUUCGACGGGUAGCCGGCCUGAGAGGGUGACCGGCCACAUUGGGACUGAGAUACGGCCCAGACUCCUACGGGAGGCAGCAGUGGGGAAUAUUGCACAAUGGGCGGAAGCCUGAUGCAGCAACGCCGCGUGCGGGAUGACGGCCUUCGGGUUGUAAACCGCUUUCGCCUGUGACGAAGCGUGAGUGACGGUAAUGGGUAAAGAAGCACCGGCUAACUACGUG